rnacentral:lncRNA from 1 species
AUUGUCGCUAUUUCUUAGCUGCUGAUAUUUGCCAGCCCGGAAGGACGCUUCCUUUCCGAGAAAAAGAAGUUUCUUAAUGAAACGUGGUUUACUUGGUGGCCGAUUAUCGGUCGGCUACCGCAAUUUCUUGGGUGUCAUGUUGAAGUGAACGUAUUUAUACGUUCGUUAGUUCGUUCGUACCCGUAGAGGUUUACUGUUACCAACAGAACUUCCGUAAAAAUAAAUUUCAACGAAAUGAAAAUUCAUGGGCGUCAGCGAAAUGCUGAAUUUAUCAUGAAAUCGAUGCUUUCGUAAGAGAAUAUUGUGGAAAUAUAUACGA